rnacentral:lncRNA from 1 species
GGUGGCGGCGCUGCGGCGGCGGCGGCGGCGGCGGUUUCAGCGAUCUUCAUAUACCCGAUUAAGUCUUGUAGGGGAAUCGCUGUCGCAAACGCUUGUAUCACCUCUACUGGUAUGUGUUUUUUUCUUCUUUUUUUUUUAAGCUUAAUUUGAUGAUAUUAAGCAAUUCCAACUUCUUAGAAUGAUCUACUUUGGUGUUAUCUGUUGUUUGUUCCCCCAAAAAAUGGGAAUUUUAGAGGAAUUUUAUGGUUGCUUUACUUGAUUUGGUGGUAAUGAUCAAUACCUACUUCUGCGAAUUUGAUGAUGCUAAGCAAUACCAAAAAUUUCUUAGAAUGGUCUUUUUUUUGGUGCUAUUUGUUGGUUUUUUUUCUAAAAAAAUGUGAAUUUUAGAGGAAUUUUAUAGUUUCUUUACUUGAUUUGAUUUGGUGGUAAUGAGCAAUA